GUUCCUGAGCCUCACUUGGAUUAUAAGCGGAGAUAACCUGGGGAAUAUUGCAUCUCCGCUACAUUGGUUGGCAGCGCUGGGAUCCAGACUCACAGAGGAACAAGCAUAAAUGGAGUACGGAUGGAGAUUGAUUUUGCCACGCUAAAACGCUCCACGCUAAAGGACCUCCUGGAGGCAAGGGGUAUACAAGCCAGCAACAAGAAGAAAGCGGU